AAUCAUAUUGUUCUGGAAAAAUGUUAUUUUAGGAACAACUUGUCUUAUACGAACAUCAGUUUUAACCCUUAUAAAACUAAAAGUCAUUUCCACAGAUCAUCAUAAAUGUUUUUACUUCAGUGCAACCAAAACAAACAAAAACAAAGAUAAUUUAAUUGUGAUUCCGUUCGUUUUCCUUGUUCUGUUUUUGCUCGAAGACGACCGGCAGGAUUGACAAAAACACGGCUCACGGACAGAUUUUUCAACCACAAGUUGUUGACUGGAACCAGAACAAAAUGUGUCUCAUCGCUUUUCAAUUUAAAGAAUUUGGCUGCCAGAAAGUGAACUACCAUAAACUGGCCGGAAGUACAUUGUGGGAAAAUUCAUUUUCGGAAGUCGCCCAAAAACAUUGCAUUAGCAGGUUCUGUGAAAUGCAUUUUGCUGCAGUAACGGUUAUCAAACCCUGGAUCACGAGACCAAUUAAAAGCCGAGCAUUGCCCUGGAGCUGAAUCAAACGAUGUUUCUACGCUUUCCGAAUCAGAGCCGGAUAGUAGAUUAAAACGAAAGAGUUAUAGAGGGAUGCCGGACGAAGAAAAUAUUUAAAAAAUAUAUUUGUCGUUUUGGAUUUCAUUUAUAUUUUGAAACUUGUAGAUUGUGAAAUUAUUUAAAUAACUAAAUAAUGAAGAGUAAAACUUCUAAAUUGUUGUAUGAAUUCUCUGCUACCGAACCAUUACAUAAAAUAAUGGGGCUUCUACGGGAAACGGCUACUACCCAUGUCGUCACAAAUAUUCUACCCUCAUCUGUCUCGGGCCCACUUCUUGCUGUAUUCUAACUAGACACAUUCAUUGUUCUGUCCGGUUGUGAUCGGAUGUGCUUAGAAUCACAUUCCGGCUAAUCUGCUUUCCAGGAAUGACACUUUCUCCAAAACGAUGAUGAUGUUUCAGGAAUCUUGCAAGCAAUGCAUAUCUAGCAGCUCAAUAUUAUCAAGCUCGGGGGAUCCCGUUCGAUAGCCUACAUCCGCCCAUGAAUGUGCGAAAUAUUUAACUAUAAAAUGAUAUGAUUUUUAAAAUGAAAUGAUUACUUUUCCAACAAAAAGCUUACUUUUAAUUUUUUCCACCAGAAAGAAGAAUCUUAAUUAAAUUUGUUCAUAAAUGAGUCAAGUUUUCUUUUCUUUUUUUCAUGUGCUUUUUGACAU